rnacentral:rRNA from 1 species
UGCUCUUAUGAAGUUAGCGGCGGACGGGUGAGUAACACGUGGGUAACCUGCCCAUAAGACUGGGAUAACUCCGGGAAACCGGGGCUAAUACCGGAUAACAUUUUGAACCGCAUGGUUCGAAAUUGAAAGGCGGCUUCGGCUGUCACUUAUGGAUGGACCCGCGUCGCAUUAGCUAGUUGGUGAGGUAACGGCUCACCAAGGCAACGAUGCGUAGCCGACCUGAGAGGGUGAUCGGCCACACUGGGACUGAGACACGGCCCAGACUCCUACGGGAGGCAGCAGUAGGGAAUCUUCCGCAAUGGACGAAAGUCUGACGGAGCAACGCCGCGUGAGUGAUGAAGGCUUUCGGGUCGUAAAACUCUGUUGUUAGGGAAGAACAAGUGCUAGUUGAAUAAGCUGGCACCUUGACGGUACCUAACCAGAAAGCCACGGCUAACUACGUGCCAGCAGCCGCGGUAAUACGUAGGUGGCAAGCGUUAUCCGGAAUUAUUGGGCGUAAAGCGCGCGCAGGUGGUUUCUUAAGUCUGAUGUGAAAGCCCACGGCUCAACCGUGGAGGGUCAUUGGAAACUGGGAGACUUGAGUGCAGAAGAGGAAAGUG